GGCUCAGAACGAACGCUGGCGGCACGUUUUAAACAUGCAAGUCGAAUGGUAAAUGGGAGCAAUCCUAUGAGAAUGGCGAACGGGUGAGUAACACGUAGGUGAUCUGCCCUGGAGAUGGGGAUAGCCUGUGGAAACACAGGGUAAUACCGAAUAAGCUCACGGUCCUAUGGGACAGCGAGUAAAUGGGGCUAAGGCCCCGCUCUGGGAGGAGCCUGCGGCUGAUUAGCUAGUUGGUGGGGUAAAAGCUUACCAAGGCGACGAUCAGUAGCCGGCCUGAGAGGGUGUACGGCCACACUGGAACUGAGACACGGUCCAGACUCCUACGGGAGGCAGCAGCUAAGAAUCUUCCGCAAUGGGCGAAAGCCUGACGGAGCGAUGCCGCGUGAUCGAUGAAGGUCGAGAGAUUGUAAAGAUCUUUUCUAGGUGAGGAAUAAUCAUGGGAGGGAAUGCCUGUGAGAUGACGUUAACCUAGGAAUAAGCCCCGGCCAAUUACGUGCCAGCAGCCGCGGUAACACGUAAGGGGCGAGCGUUGUUCGGAAUUAUUGGGCGUAAAGGGCGUGCAGGCGGUUUUGCAAGUCUGAUGUGAAAUAUCCGGGUUUAACUCGGAAGACGCGUUGGAAACUGUGAGACUAGAAUCUUGGAGGGGGAGUUGGAAUUCCUAGUGUAGGGGUGAAAUCUGUUGAUAUUAGGAAGAACACCGGUGGCGAAGGCGAACUCCUGGCCGAAGAUUGACGCUGAGGCGCGAAAGCGUAGGUAGCAAACAGGAUUAGAUACCCUGGUAGUCUACGCUGUAAACGAUGUACACUUGGUGUUGGGCCGAUUAGGUUCAGUGCCGUAGCUAACGCGAUAAGUGUACCGCCUGGGGAGUAUGCUCGCAAGG
rnacentral:rRNA from 1 species